UCUAUAUGUUACCUUUGGGUUGGCAGGGUUGUCAAACUGCUGCAGCAUAUAGGCAUCAGGUGUCUUAUUUAAAAUCUCUGUAGCCUUAUCUACAGCCCCCUUCAUCCCUUUUGCGGCAUCAGUAAGGACAAGUUCAGCGCCAAAAGCUUUGAGUAGAACUCUUCUCUCCAUGCUCAUUGAUGCAGGCAUGGUCAAUAUUAAUUUAUAUCCUCUGGAAGCAGCAAUGAAGGCAAGACCAAUGCCUGUAUUUCCACUUGUUGGUUCCACCAAAACACUCUGAGCAUAGAGCAUAAAGUAAUAUGUCAUGCAUGGUAAGGCGGCGAAUGUGUACCUGUCCUUGACACUGCAACAGGGCUCCAUAAUCUCGAGCUUAGCAGCGACAUUGGCAACACAUCCCUUGACGAUGUUGUUGAG
rnacentral:sRNA from 1 species